GGUCGGUCCCCCUGUGCACGCGCGGCGGCCUAGUAGGUGGAAGCUGACUGCAGGGAGGCCUCGAGGGCUGGCCAGCAGCCCUGGCCGCGUGAGUCUCCAGGCCCCUCCUUUCCUCUCUGGGCCGGAACGGUGUGCGGGCCCGCUACGCGGCCGGCAGGAGAGUGGCGCGGAGCUGAAGCCGCCGAGGCGUUGGAGGAGUCCAGACUCAUCCGGAAUCGGGCUGUUGAGGGACGGGAAAUCUAGAAGCUUCAGGACUGGAGGGAGUCCCUGAUCCCACUGGCCUUGACUUUGGACAAGGCUUUAAUUUGUUCUAGUCAACUAUUCAGCGAUUUUGAGCAAAAAAGAUUCUCUGGCCUGCAGCAUGAUAUUGGCUUGAUGUGGAAAGAUUAAGAUUCUAGGCUAAAGGGAAGAAGCCAUUAGAGAAGAAUACCCCGAGGUCCAUGAGGACAAUUUGUGAUCAGUGCUUACUCUUAUGCCUUGACUUGCUAUGUAAGUCUUUCUCCCUCUUGAUAGCAUUUGAAGGUUUUUGCAGUGCUACUUGGAGCCUCCUUGUGGUGAACCUAAUAAUGACAUAUAAAGUAGAAAAACUUGAUACACCAGUCAUUGCAUAUGUAGAUUAUUUUUAUGAGGGUUAAAUGAAGGUAGGUUUUGUGGUUGUGAUAAGAAUGCUUAGUUCUUUGGUUUCCAAUGAGUUAUAAUGUGAUGCCUAAAAUUGUUAUAACUUU